UAUUUUUGAUCCAUUAGUAAGUACUCAUAAAACAAGCAUAUUUUCAAAUAUUCUACACAGACAGUGAUGUAUCUGUGCUUGAUGCCAUUGUUCUUCACAAAAUGUGAUAAUAAUGUUAUAUGUUAACAUACAAACUGAGUUUGACUCCACAGAAACUGCUGCAAGUGGAUAACCACGUAUGCUUAAAUCUGCUAGGAAUGCACUAUUUGACCUGUAUAAAUAGAAUUUCUUUAUGAUUAGGAGUUCUUUUAUGCAUUAUUUUUGCAUUGAGUCUCAGCCAGUGUGC
rfam:Meleagris gallopavo chromosome Z, whole genome shotgun sequence.